rnacentral:rRNA from 1 species
UACAGAGGGGGCAAGCGUUAUUCGGAAUUAUUGGGCGUAAAGGGCGCGUAGGCGGCCUGGCAAGUGGAAGGUGAAAUCCCUCGGCUUAACCGAGGAACUGCCCUCCAAACUGCUUAGCUUGAGACCGGGAGAGGUGAGUGGAAUUCCCAGUGUAGCGGUGAAAUGCGUAGAUAUUGGGAGGAACACCAGUGGCGAAGGCGGCUCACUGGACCGGUACUGACGCUGAUGCGCGAAAGCGUGGGGAGCAAACGGGG